rnacentral:lncRNA from 1 species
CGAGGCGGGCGGCGACGUGCGUCGUGUGCCGGGCGCGGUGGCGGCAGCCGAGCAAGGAGCAGGAGCAGCAGCAGUACAUGAACCUGGCCGAGUACAUGAACGACGCCGCCAUUGACGGAGACGUCGAGAUGGUCGCCGACGACGGGGGCCUGUGCGCCGGAUAGCUGGUGACGUAGGCUGAUGUGAUCGUGACAUGGAUGUAAAUUAACGAAGCUGUACAUUGUGUACUAACAUAUCAGUUCGUUGCGUUUUCAUGACAUUUGUUCGUUGUUUUCUCUUUAGAGGCUAACUUUGCAAUUUAAGUGAUCCAUAUUCAUGUACAUAAAUUGAUAUUUUAAUUAAAAAUCAUUAAUUUAACUAGCU